UACGUAGGUGGCAAGCGUUGUCCGGAUUUACUGGGCGUAAAGAGCGCGCAGGCGGUCGUUCAAGUCGCGUGUGAAAGCCCCCGGCUCAACUGGGGAGGGUCACGCGAUACUGAUCGACUCGAAGGCAGGAGAGGGAAGUGGAAUUCCCGGUGUAGUGGUGAAAUGCGUAGAUAUCGGGAGGAACACCAGUGGCGAAGGCGACUUCCUGGCCUGUUCUUGACGCUGAGGCGCGAAAGCGUGGGGGAGCAAACAGGG
rnacentral:rRNA from 1 species